rnacentral:tRNA from 4 species
GGGGCCGUAGCUCAGCUGGGAGAGCGCCGCCUUUGCAAGGCGGAAGUCGGGGGUUCGAGUCCCCCCGGCUCCACCA